UUGGUAGGGUAACGGCUCACCAAGGCAACGAUGUUUAGGGGUUCUGAGAGGAUGUCCCCCCACACUGGAACUGAGACACGGUCCAGACUCCUACGGGAGGCAGCAGUAGGGAAUAUUGGUCAAUGGAGGCAAGUCUGACCCAGCCAUGCCGCGUGAAGGAAGACAGCCCUACGGGUUGUAAACUUCUUUUAUUAUAGAGUAACAGGAGGUACGUGUACCUCCAUGCAAGUAUAUAAUGAAUAAGGAUCGGCUAACUCCGUGCCAGCAGCCGCGGUAAUACGGAGGAUCCGAGCGUUAUCCGGAUUUAUUGGGUUUAAAGGGUGCGCAGGCUGAUCGAUAAGUCAGGGGUGAAAAAUUUCAGCUUAACUGGAAUCGUGCCUUUGAUACUGUCGGACUAGAGUGUAACUGACGUGGGAGGAAUGUGCCGUGUAGCGGUGAAAUGCAUAGAUAUGUCACAGAACGCCAAUCGUGAAGACAGGUCACGAAGUUACUACUGACGCUCAUGCACGAAAGCGUGGGGAUCAAACAGGAUUAGAUACCCUGGUAGUCCACGCUGUAAACGAUGAUUACUGGUUCUUGGGCAACAUGCUCAGU
rnacentral:rRNA from 1 species